GAUGAACGCUGGCGGCGUGCCUAAUACAUGCAAGUCGAGCGAACAGACGAGGAGCUUGCUCCUCUGACGUUAGCGGCGGACGGGUGAGUAACACGUGGAUAACCUACCUAUAAGACUGGGAUAACUUCGGGAAACCGGAGCUAAUACCGGAUAAUAUAUUGAACCGCAUGGUUCAAUAGUGAAAGACGGUUUUGCUGUCACUUAUAGAUGGAUCCGCGCCGCAUUAGCUAGUUGGUAAGGUAACGGCUUACCAAGGCAACGAUGCGUAGCCGACCUGAGAGGGUGAUCGGCCACACUGGAACUGAGACACGGUCCAAACUCCUACGGGAGGCAGCAGUAGGGAAUCUUCCGCAAUGGGCGAAAGCCUGACGGAGCAACGCCGCGUGAGUGAUGAAGGUCUUCGGACCGUAAAACUCUGUUAUUAGGGAAGAACAAAUGUGUAAGUAACUAUGCACGUCUUGACGGUACCUAAUCAGAAAGCCACGGCUAACUACGUG
rnacentral:rRNA from 1 species